UACGGAGGGGGCGAGCGUUAUUCGGAAUUAUUGGGCGUAAAGGGCGCGUAGGCGGCUAUUCAAGUCAAAGGUGAAAUCCCUCGGCUCAACUGAGGAACUGCCUUUGAAACUGAAUGGCUUGAGUCCGGGAGGGGGUAGCGGAAUUCCCAGUGUAGCGGUGAAAUGCGUAGAUAUCUGGAGGAACACCGGUGGCGAAGGCGGCAUCCUGGACCGGCAUUGACGCUGAGGCGCGAAAGCUAGGGGAGCAAACGGG
rnacentral:rRNA from 1 species